AGGGUUUGAUUAUGGCUCAGGAUGAACGCUGGCGGCGUGCUUAACACAUGCAAGUCGAACGGAGUCUUUUUGAGGAAGUUUUCGGAUGGAAUUGAAAAGACUGAGUGGCGGACGGGUGAGUAACGCGUGGGUAACCUGCCUCAUACAGGGGGAUAACAGUUGGAAACGACUGCUAAUACCGCAUAAGCGCACGGAACCGCAUGAUUCUGUGUGAAAAACUCCGGUGGUAUGAGAUGGACCCGCGUCUGAUUAGCUAGUUGGAGGGGUAACGGCCCACCAAGGCGACGAUCAGUAGCCGGCCUGAGAGGGUGACCGGCCACAUUGGGACUGAGACACGGCCCAA
rnacentral:rRNA from 1 species